GCAUGGAGGGCAAGGAGGAGGACGUUCGCCUGGGCGCCAACAAGUACUCGGAGCGCCAGCCCAUCGGCACGGCGGCGCAGGGCAGCGAUGACAAGGACUACAAGGAGCCCCCUCCGGCGCCGCUGUUCGAGCCCGGGGAGCUCAAGUCCUGGUCCUUCUACCGCGCCGGCAUCGCCGAGUUCGUCGCCACCUUCCUCUUCCUCUACAUCAGCAUCCUCACCGUCAUGGGCGUCAGCAAGUCCCAGUCCAAGUGCGCCACCGUCGGCAUCCAGGGCAUCGCCUGGUCCUUCGGCGGCAUGAUCUUCGCCCUCGUCUACUGCACCGCCGGCAUCUCCGGUACCGUACCCACCCGCCUCUGUUUCUUCUUGGUUCCCUCCUCUGCUUCUUGCCUUCUUUGCCUGCGUCGUGCUAAGCUAGCUGCUGAUGUUUUUUUUCCCUCUCGAAACUGCAGGCGGGCACAUCAACCCGGCGGUGACCUUCGGGCUGUUCCUGGCGAGGAAACUGUCGUUGACCAGGGCCGUCUUCUACAUGAUCAUGCAGUGCCUGGGCGCCAUCUGCGGCGCCGGCGUCGUCAAGGGCUUCCAGCAGGGGCUGUACAUGGGCAACGGCGGCGGCGCCAACAUGGUCGCGGCUGGCUACACCAAGGGCGACGGCCUCGGCGCUGAGAUCGUCGGCACCUUCAUCCUCGUCUACACCGUCUUCUCCGCCACCGACGCCAAGAGGAACGCCAGGGACUCCCACGUCCC
rnacentral:lncRNA from 1 species